rnacentral:lncRNA from 1 species
UUUUUACCUUGUUCAAUAGCCAAAUGAAAAUAUGAUUAAUUUGGUGUUACAAAUUAUUUCACAUUUUUACACCUUUUCUUCAUCACCAACAACUAACUUCUGUUUUGAAGGCUUUAAAUAUAUUUAAAUUUAAGAAUGUUCUACAUGUGUAAGGUCCUGUAAUAUCCAGAUAAUUAAAGACAAAAGGAGGUAGGAAUUAAAUUAUAUUGUAAUUUCUUUAAGUCCCUUUUGAGUGGAAACAUGGCCUCAAAAUACAUGAGCACCAAACACAUUAUCAGAGACUAUAAUGUUUGGAAAGAUUCCACAGAUGUGUGGAAUUUCUCAUAGAAAUUCUAAGAUUCCAGGGGCAUUCACAGAGGCAGGCAGAAGAAUCAGAGAUACAGUAUAAUUACUCAAGAGGGAAUAACUAUAUUUAAAAGGCUCGUUGAUCACUGUCCACAUUUACAAUGUGGGAGGACGCUCCUGGGAGAAGCAUACAAAUAUUAAUGUCUGAUCAUACCUGCCUUGUAUAAAAUAGGUGUACCUGAAUUACAAAUACUGCGACUUUUACAGAGCAAAAGUUUCUAUUCAUCUUGUGGCAUAAUUUUAAUGUUAGUUUUGUUCUUGUGUGUGUGUGUGUUUCUUAAUCAGAAAAGGCUUUAAUUUGCCUAUUCAGAACUCUAACUUGUUUGAUUUUUCAACUGUAAGCUCCUUCCUUCAUCAUUUCACUAAGUAACUUAAAAUUAGUUCCCACAUCAUUUCACUAAGUAACUUAAAAUUAGUUCCCUCUCGUUUAGAAAUAAAAUCUGGUUACACUAAUCUUGAUAGUAUCUUGACCUGUGUUGCAAGUUCAGUUUUCCAGAAUCAAAUGCUGAGACGGAGUUUGGGUGCAAAAUUUUUGUUAGGAAUCCAUCCCUUUGAAAGGGAGGAAGUGGAAGUAGAUUUGGGCAGAGAAAGAAGUAGAAUGGCAAUGCAGGCCCAUCGAAGCCUCGGCCACUCUGGGGGAAAGUCUGAAAUGAGGGCUGGCAGUCAGAGGUCCCACAUGAGGCCAAAAGGGCCAGGUUUUCAUCCCUUGUCGCGCUUAGUCACCAGUUCGGGCUGCCCCGGGAAGGAAGUCACCUCAGUGAGGUGGCUCUCUGUAGCUAGGUGGGUCUCUGAUUGGCUGACAG